ensembl:lncRNA
CUCCCCUGGUGGACCUCACUCCCAGUCACAGUGGCUCAGCCAUGCUGAUGCUCCUCUCUGUGGUUUUUGUGGGACUAGCUGUGUUUGUCAUCUACAAAUUCAAAAGGUAUGAGCUUCCCUGAGCCAUUUCCUUCUCUCCAUUGCUGCCUUUCAGUGAGGCGCUUGGGGUUUGUUUGCUGGGUUGUUUUUUUUCUGAGUGAGCUGUUUUUUUGGUUUGUAAAAGCUGAUACUACAUCAUCUGCCAGAGUACCACACAAUGAUGGUUUCUGUUAAUGUUUUAGGAAGAUUCCUGGCCUUAAUAUAUAUGCACAGAUGCAGAAUGAAAAAGAUCAAGAGAUGGUCAGUCCAGUCAGUCAGAGGGAAAGCAUACCUAAUGUCCCUCAAAGUGAGCUGAUGAGCCCUGAGCAACUAGUAGAUGAGAAGUUGGAAGUCCACCCCAUAGAGCAACCUCAGGCCACAGUGCAGAACCCAAGGAAAGGAAAUGCAACCAAGGUAGUCUGGACAGAGGACUUCCAAAAAGCCUGUGGAUCACCAAGAGAUUUCAAGCCAAGACUCAGAGCGGAAGUAUUUCCACAGCUGCUGAGCCCCAGAGCACAAAAGAAAUCCCUACCUAUGUAAAUGGUUGAACUGAGGACACCAACAUCUGUAUCUAAAAAAAGGAGGAGAGCUCACUGCAUUUGGACUUUUUAAUUCUUCAGAUGACAAAGGGUUUUUAGCUUUAAGCCUGUGCAUGUGGACAUUAUACUGAGACCAUAGUGGAACUGCAUUGUACAGGUGUUCAAUUUUAGUGGGGGGUGGGGGGAGAGGAACUGGUACCACUAUUCACUCCUGCAGCCCUUCCCCUCACCCUUCCACUCUCUUUUUUCUGAUCUGUCUCUAAUUUGUAGAAAAUUCAUAAUGUUAUAGGCCAAGAAUAUGCAUGGGGAGGGUCUCCUCUUUAGGGGGAGGGGUGGGCUGGGAUGUGGGGGGAGAAGGGCUGGGUGGUGGGAGGUGGGUUUAGGGUUCUUGGCUUUAGGUUUAACUGCUCUUUUAGCACUUGGGGCUGCGGGAGGGGUAGCUGCUCCGGCAGGACACACACACAAAUCACACUGGAGUUUUAAGGCACUGAAAGUAUUCUUGGUCAGUCUGGUUUACCUGUCUGUUUGGACUCUGCCCUUCGUUCCUCUAGCUGCAGCUGCUGCCCGUGCCCUGUGAGGAGCUGAGUGUGAGUGUGGGUGAUGCCAGCUGCGAGGCCAGGCUCCUUCAAGAACAGCUUGGUCAGCCUGCUCACACCUAGGCAUCCCACUGGUAGUGCCAUGGAGGAUAACAUUGCCUCCUGACCCUAGAACAGAACAGAGGCAGUGUGCACUGCAGAUGAGGUUAUUGCCAGCAAGAACUUACUGUGCUUUGUGCCAGCUUACACCUUCAAUUUUGGCUGAGAGAAAGCAACACCCUCAGCUCCAUGGAGUGCUGAUGGCUGAGUUUGUCUGGGGCAGUCACAAGAGAUCUCUGCCUUUGCAGAGUCACCCAAAGGGUGUCAGUUUUUGGAAAUGCACCUUGUCCAUAGAAUAGGGAGCAGAGAAGGUCUCUGCACAGUUUUCCUAUGGCUUUCUUUGGCACCCCCAUUGGUUGCAGACCUGUAAGCUCCUGCCACUGUGGGCAGAGAAGGGAGAAUUUGGCCUGGGACUGUUGCCAUGCAUUUUGAGCCUCAGCACCACAGGACCACUCUUACACCAGAUUUGAUUUCUUACCAGUAACUUAAGCUUGUUUCUUACCCUGCAAGUGGAAGUGAGGCUGUAGGACAUGUUCACAUAGGCUGUGCAAGGGAACAGCAUGAAAGCAGGAUUAGCACACCUCAGACACGUCCUCCAAAGACACUGGAGAGCUGUGUGAAGCCCAGCCCCUGGUCAUUACAACUGUUGAUUUCCAACCCCACUCAGGUAAUUAAACCUAGCACCAGGGUUUUGGUUUGGAGUGCAAAGACAGAAGUACUGUAACCAGUGUACACUUGCCCAUGUCAGGUGGAGGCAGUAGAGGCCAGGUCACAAUCAGCGAGGCACACAUAGGAGGCACCCUGACUGCUGACACAGGUGGGGUUUGUUCAGUAGACAGUGCCAUGAGUCAAAACCAGGAGAAAGCAGCAUGGUCAGUGUGGCCCAGAGUCCCAGGGCAGGGAUUUGGUGGUGGUGGGUUUGAAUUUCUCUGUCACAAACUGGGCACAAACCUAAAUCAACCCACUUGCUGGCAAAACAAAAAUGAUACCAAGGUCAUUAGUCCCAUAGUAGUUAAAGGAUAAUCACAGUACAGAGUCCUCUGCCUCUCUCUGCAGUUUCUCUGAGGACUGGUAGAAACAGCAAUUUAUAGGCUUUGCUAUUGUGUUUGCAACUACAGCUUUAAGAAAGAUGGGAAAAUUUUGACUGCAACUGUAUAAUAGUCCCCACUGAAGUCCAACAUUAGCCAACUUAUUUUUAUAGUAAGCCAAUCAAAAAGUUUUCUUAUAGUGUUGGAACAAUUUCUAAUUUUAAAAUUACUUUUUUUGAUGUACUUUUUCAUCUUCUUUUUCCCUUUCGUUAAAUACAAUGUAGCGUAAUGUAUAAUUGCUAUUGUUUAUUGCUUUUACAGUCAUAUUUAUUAAACAGAUUAUGUCUCUAAAUGAAGGCCCAUGGUUUUCUUGCUCAUUUUAGCCUCUAUCCCUGGUGGGGCUCACUAACAAUAUUAAAACAGGAGGUAGUUGAUAACCUAAAAAAGAUAUGGAUAUUCACAAAUGGGGGGAAAUACAGUUCCUAGAAGCAAGAUGCCAAUAUAAAGAUAACUUUCUCAAUCCUUAAUUUUUCUGCUUUCCAAGCAUGCAAUGAUAGAGCUCUGAGCAGUUCCCUGGGAACUCCCAACUCCAUUCCCUGACCCCAUACAGUCUCUGUUAAAUGUUCCUUUAAAAUAUAUAUUUUUUUGGCUCUGCUUCUGCCAGCACUGAUGAAGGAAAGUCUGAAUUAUUAGCAUUACUGAUUAAUUUACAUGUGAAUAAAAUGAAGCCUAGGAAGUUUCUGUCAGCUUACCAUAUGGCAGUGGAUGCAUGGUGCUGAGAAAAAAAAAAAAGGAAGAAAACAGAACUUCUCUGCUUUUCAAGUCAGGAUGCAGCCACCUUUUAUAACAGGAUCCUGGUUCAGUGCUCUUUUUUUGUUCCUUAGGAUCUGAAUUUAUGUAUGCACAUACAGUCAAAGAUCUGGGGUUUGGGAUCCUCAACAAGCAAGGCUGUGGUAUGACAUAUUCUGAGUCCAGGAAUCCUGGGUUUUCUCAUUGGAGGAGGGCAUAGUGUUCAGUCCUGGGCAGACCCCAGUGUAACUAACAAUUAUUAGCCUAGAAUGGUCAAGUGGACACUGCAGCCUUCUCCAUUCAGGCUGGAAUGGCAGCAGUGCAGGUGCCUCACUGAGGUGUGUGAAGCCAUAAUCUGCUUUAAUAGUUUAAGUACCCACCUGAAUUAGCAGGCAUCUGUUCUGGCCAUAAACAGCAAGUCUGGUUUGGCAAGCAUCUCUCUACAGCGUUUUCAGAUCAUUCUCUUCAGCUUGUUCUGUGUCCUGAGGCAGAGACUGAUUGUUAUUUGUAGUUGUUUUCUGGUUUGUAUAACAACACAGUAAUUCACUGCUAAUGGAUGAACACUGUGAGAGUAAACAAAGAAUACCAAAUACUUACAAAAUCCAAUAUGAAUUUUCUCUGAGGAUGUUGUCUUUUCUUGAGGGAACAAAAAAAGUUUAUCAUCAUUUGUCAGGAGUAGAGAGUUAAAAUAUGGCUCAAAAGUCAAAUAAAGUAUUUUGCAAAUUGUAUGUUGGUUCUCUACCAUCAUCUUAACCAACAGAUGAGACAGAUAUUGUGGCUUCAGGGAGAUUUAUACUUCUCCACCUAGAAGGACAUUUGAGCUAAGAAGCUGGAUUGCUUUUCCUGGAAAUUAGUAGUUGUUGGUGCUCAAAUACCUUUGGGGAUUUGGGCCUCAAACAAUUGCUUGCUCUUAAUAUGUGACUACAUCUGAUUGCUUAAACUCUUUCUGAAAAGCAAGACUCUUGAAGUACUUGCUAAAGUGCUUAUGCAAAUGAAGCAGGAAUUUCCAGUGACCCUGAAUGAACCCUGUCUUGGUCCUGUCAACUUCUGCUGAGAAUUUCUGACAAUUGCAUUUAGUGUGGUACCCAGAGCUGAUAACAAGGGAUUAGUAUUUUAUCUGUGUGCUGUCACCUCUCAUUGAAUGCAUGAGAAGUUUUCUUGUCACAUUAUAUCUCUAGGUACACUCAGUGUUUUAAACAUUACCCCUGAUUGCAGAGCUAC